AGUGAACGCUGGCGGCAGGCCUAACACAUGCAAGUCGAACGGCAGCACAGGGGGUAGCAAUACCCUGGGUGGCGAGUGGCGGACGGGUGAGGAAUACGUCGGAAUCUGCCUAUUUGUGGGGGAUAACGUAGGGAAACUUACGCUAAUACCGCAUACGCCCUACGGGGAAAGCGGAGGACCUUCGGCUUCGCGCAGAUAGAUGAGCCGACGUCGGAUUAGCUAGUUGGCGGGGUAAAGGCCCACCAAGGCGACGAUCCGUAGCUGGUCUGAGAGGACGACCAGCCACACUGGGACUGAGACACGGCCCAGACUCCUACGGGAGGCAGCAGUGGGGAAUAUUGGACAAUGGGCGCAAGCCUGAUCCAGCGAUGCCGCGUGUGUGAAGAAGGCCUGCGGGUU
rnacentral:rRNA from 1 species